rnacentral:rRNA from 1 species
GCCUUAAUAGCGGCGAGUGAGCGGCAAAAGCUCAAUUUGAAUCUGGCGCCUUCGUGUGUCCGAGUUGUAAUUUGAAGAUUGUAACCUUGGGGUUGGCUCUUGUCUAUGUUUCUUGGAACAGGACGUCACAGAGGGUGAGAAUCCCGUGCGAUGAGAUGCCCAAUCCUAUGUAAGGUGCUUUCGAAGAGUCGAGUUGUUUGGGAAUGCAGCUCUAAGUGGGUGGUAAAUUCCAUCUAAAGCUAAAUAUUGGCGAGAGACCGAUAGCGAACAAGUACAGUGAUGGAAAGAUGAAAAGAACUUUGAAAAGAGAGUGAAAAAGUACGUGAAAUUGUUGAAAGGGAAGGGUUUGAGAUCAGACUCGAUAUUUUGUGAGCCUUGCCUUCGUGGCGGGGUGACCCGCAGCUUAUCGGGCCAGCAUCGGUUUGGGCGGUAGGAUAAUGGCGUAGGAAUGUGACUUUACUUCGGUGAAGU